UGGGUCAUGGUGAUCUCCCCAGGGCCUAGCACAGUGCCUGGCACUCAGUAAAUAUGUGUGAGUAAAUUCUAUCUGAAGGGUUUUUUGCCCAAGCUUUCCUCUUGGCCAAGAGGUCUAAAACAGAGGAGCCAGGCUUCUGAGAAAGUCCCCAAGAACCCUGGGCACAUGAGGAUGGAGGGCCAGUGGCCAGUGACAGUGUGCCGCCCCCAGGUCAAGCCUGACACUGGACUCCCACACCCCCCAUUGCUGGGUGGACCCAGGCGGCCGGGUAACUCAUCCCAUUCUGCUCACCUUCCCCUUGGGACCUGAUGCUGGCUGGCCCUGCACAGAGCAAGGGGCCCAGGUGUCACCUGAGGAACCCUAAGGGUUUGCUGGGUAGACCUCGGUGCACAAGCUGGUGUACAGUGCCUGGUGGCUUGAGUUGGGGCCACCCGACUGAUGGCUCGUCCACGAGUUGCCUGCGAACCAGAACGAUCCUCAGGCACAUUGAGCAACCGGCUUCCCUUUGUCGCCCGAGGCGGGAGCUGGGCCAGGGAAAGUGAAGAAACCUGUUCUGGGCCUCCGCUGGGGUGGGCGUGGGCGGGGCCCUGCCGGGAAAGGAGCAGCUGGACCAGUUUCCUUGGCUCCUGGACCGGAUGCAGCCCCGUGACUAGGGCGGAGGCUGGAGAAAUACGUGCCCUGGGCGCACCUGUGUGUCCUCUGGGCCAACACUGGCUUUGACAAUGAUAAGACUAAGGGCUCUAGGUCAGCUGUCGCCGGACUUGCGACUUCCGGCUGCUAAAUUAGGCGAGCGGGCGCGGCAGCAGCGAUCAGCUGAUAGGUAGAACUACAAGAGGCUUUGGACAUCCUGUAGGCAACUUCCCCUGCCUACCAGAGUACGGAAUCCUGCUCAAAGCGUGGUGUGAGGAGUCGUGAAACCGCAUAGGAACAAUGCCUAGCACAUGAAUUCCUAUCAGAACCGCUUUUACUGCCUCCCCCGGCGACGUUCCCGGCCCGCCAACGUUUCUUUCGUCCUUACAAGGCCAGCUUCCACCCGCUGCUUUUGUGUAAAUAAAGCCUGGCCUUCUGCCUGCAGGUUGCCGCCAGAAGCCGGCCGGUGGGGGAAGGGUUCGGAACCGGUACGACCGCCUCAGCCGCGCCGGGAGAGGCCGAGAGUCCGCCACGCUCAGCCGUCGCGCGGGGGCGGUACUCCGGGCCCCCCAGGAUGAGCCGAGCCGAGAAACCCAGCACGAGAAAGUCCCCACCCACCUGCACCCUCUUCCGUGGGUCACCCCGCGCGUGGCAGGCCCUUGACAAAUAUCGUCCUGAAUUCUCCCCGCGAUCCUGGGAGUAUCCUCCCCAUUUUAUAGACGAGAGACUGAGGCUUACCAAGUGUAAGGGGCUUGACCGAGGUCCCAUAGGCGAAAAAAGUGGCAAACCAAGAACUUCUAACCGAAUAUAUCUGGCUGCAAAAUCCAGUCUUCUCCCAUCCCGCCGGUCACCAGUGAGACUGUAAAGGUCUUAAAGGAGAAGAAUAAAAAAAAAAAUAACCACACGAAUCAGAUUAACAGAUCGUAAGGAAUUGAAAGGGCCUUCCAGAGCUGCUGGUAUUUCAAACAAGUGGACUCGAACCACAGGAUAAGUAACAAACUACUUUUCCUGGGUGACCAAUCAUACUUUUUUUUUAAUUAAAAAUAUAUUUAUUAAAAUAGAUUACGAUGGAGAAGAAUAUAAUUUUCAAAAUAAUGAUAGCUGAAAACAGAAGACUUAAAAGAAAUGUCAGGCUGUUUCCACCUCGCACACCUUUCGUUCGAUUGCACACACAUUCUUGACAUCAAGUACAUAAACAGGCAAACUGAGGCCCGAAACCAGUCCCACUGAGAGCGAGAGGCCGAGUGGGAGGAGAACCGAGAUUUCCGGGCUCUCGGCCUGGGGUGCUUUCGGCUGGGGGCGGGGGUCCUGUUUGUAAACAGGUGUCCUCGGACAGCCACUGCCGAUUUUUGUCACUCUGCCAACCGGAGGGACGAUUCUGAGUAAUCGCUAGCAGUCAGCGCAGCUGGGGCUAAAAGCGAAAGGGACGCGCGCGCGACGGGCCCGGGAGGGCGACGGGUAAAGCGCGCAGGCGGGGCCGCCGCCGGGUUCCCGCGGGGCGACCGUGCGGUAGGCCUCCUCCCGGACCGCUCUCGACGGCCCCGCCCCGCGCAGGCGGCGGGCGCUGCAGGCCCCGCCCCUGCUCCCAGCCCAGGGGACCCAUCCCGGACCUGAGAAUCCCGGUCCCAAACCCCUCCUCCCAAAAGGGGCUAAAAGGUGCAGGGGGCUUUUGACCAGCCCGUCCAGCUUCAGGUCCUGGGACCGGCGGCCCUGUCCUUGCGCGUGGGAACAGUCAGGUACUUAGGCUUGACCUUAAAUCCGCCCCUGGUAUUUGCUAAC
ensembl:lncRNA